rnacentral:rRNA from 1 species
AGAGUUUGAUCCUGGCUCAGGACGAACGCUGGCGGCGUGCCUAACACAUGCAAGUCGAACGGUAAGGCCCCUUCGGGGGUACACGAGUGGAGAACGGGUGAGUAACACGUGAGCAACCUGCCCAUGACUCUGGAAUAACAGCUGGAAACAGCCGCUAAUACCGGAUACGACCUUCGAGGACAUCCUCCGAAGGUGGAAAGCUCCGGCGGUCAUGGAUGGGCUCGCGGCCUAUCAGCUAGUUGGUGAGGUAAUGGCUCACCAAGGCUUCGACGGGUAGCCGGCCUGAGAGGGCGACCGGCCACACUGGGACUGAGAUACGGCCCAGACUCCUACGGGAGGCAGCAGUGGGGAAUAUUGCACAAUGGACGCAAGUCUGAUGCAGCAACGCCGCGUGCGGGAUGACGGCCUUCGGGUUGUAAACCGCUUUCAGCAGGGACGAAGCGAAAGUGACGGUACCUGCAGAAGAAGGACCGGCCAACUACGUGCCAGCCGCCGCGGUAAUAC